rnacentral:rRNA from 1 species
GAUUUCUGGCCUGGCGUGCCUGGCCCGCCAGCGUUAGCUGUGUGUGUGUCGGGUCGCGCCUGCCAUCCUUCCAGAGAACAUGCUUACCUUUCAUUAGGCCGAGCAUGCCAUCUGGAUCUUUUACUUUGAAAAAAUUAGAGUGUUUAAAGCAGGCUUUUGCUAUGAAUACAUUAGCAUGGAAUAAUAAUCUAGGACUUCGGUUCUAUUUUGUUGGUUUCUAGAACUGAAGUAAUGAUUGAUAGGGAUAGUUGGGGGUGCUAGUAUUCAGCGGCCAGAGGUGAAAUUCUUGGAUUCGCUGAAGACUAACUUAUGCGAAAGCAUU